ACUGCAGGUAGUUCUUUUCUUAAUUAAUAUUUGUAAUUCUUGUCUUUCGGUUCCCUUAUGUUUGUGUUUAUAACUUGUAGGCUGUCUUCUAUGGAGAUUUCAUGCCACUGCUAUUAGAGAAUGUUUGUUAUUUGUCUAUUCGAUCAUGUUGGAAGCUUUCGUGAUAUGCUAGUCCCAGGAAUGGUCUCCACUUUUCAAGGAAUGAGUAAUUUGAGUACUUUGGAAAUAAUGUCUGACCCAGAAUUCUUUGAACCUAAAAUUGAUUGUUCUGGGUUAAAAUGGGAUAUUGGAGAUUGCAAAACAAUUAUUUUAUUAAUCAACUUAAGGAAGUAACCGUAGAGCUUUCCAUUUGGAUCGAAUGGAAUUCAGUUUGCAAAAUAUGUGCUCGAGCAUGCAUGGAAUUUGAAGAAAAUGACAUUUUUUUCAUUCACCUCAGCAGUCGAAAGCUGUAAGGAAGAUAACAAAAAGCAUGAUUGUUUCCAGUGCCAAACUUGUCGUUUUGGAGGAUAGAGAAAGAGGAAGACAAUCAUAAUCUAAACAGCUCACCAGAUGAAGGGUCGUCAAGGGUUGUCUCCCCAAACUUCCAGAGAGCUCAAUCAGAUCAACUGUCAUCCCUAUGCUGUUCGAUGUUUUGUUUGAAUAUAAGUGUAUGUGUUAUUUUCGUUUAACUCAGCUGUGGACUGAUUGACAAUCUUAGACCAUAUGUGCUUCUUUUUUUUAAGUCGAAAGUAAACUGCGUAGAGGUUCCUCCAAUAUUUUAAGAGCCACAUAAUUUGGUAGAUUACAUGAAGCUUAUAGUUUUUGAUUUUUUUAGUAGCUGCUUUUUGUUGCUAGCCUGUUUGGCUGUUUUGAUUGCCACCCAACUCAGAAAUUCUGCCACAAGCUUAUAUAGUGAUCUUUCCCCCUGUGAGCAGGUAAUUUUAGUUUCCAUUUUUAUAUUCUAAGUUGUAUUUACUUUCCUUUUUGUAUAGUUCCUAUUGUAAUUAGGACCUGUUUCCUAUAUUGUUAGCA